CACACACACACACACACACACACCUGCCUGGCUGGGGUUGAUCACCUGGACAACGGGCGGGACAAUCAACCAAUGAGGUGAAGCAACAGGAUGCACGGAGAGGGAGGGCCAAUGACAGUAAAUUAACUCAAAUUCUCUUAGCCAAUGGCAUCAUGAACAGCUCUAUCGCUAUAGAAACACAUGAUAACACGUAAUAUUCAGUUUUGGAUUAUUUUACAGACAUUGUUGAUAUAAAACACUCAUCAGAGCAGGUACAGUCAGUCGUACAUGUAAUGUCUAUAGCACAGGCUGUAAAACAGGGCUGGGCCUGUGGCAGGGGAACAUAUCCUGCCUUUUACAGCAGGGUCACUCACUAAACCGCACCCCGACACAAACACACCACCCGGCCUCUCAGAGACACUGUAGCCCAGUCACACCUCAGUUGGUCAGUAUCUGCUGUGUGUUGGGAGGUGAGGGAAGGUUGAUUGGGUACAAAUUCAGUUGUUACGUGUCCUGUAUCUGUCCCAUCUUGUUAUUGAUGAUUGAUAAAUGAUCUUGCAAUAACAAUAUAUGCCAUUUCUCAGAUGCUUCUACCCAAAGCAACACACUUUUUAACUUAUGGGUGACCCCAGCGGGAAUUGAACCCACAAUCCUGGUGUUGCAAGUGCCAUGCUCUACCAAUGGGGCUACAGAGGACCACCAUGUACUGAUCCAGUUGUUAUGUGUUGUCUGUCUGUCAUUAUUAAGCCCAGUAAUAAUGGUCUGAUGGGCGUAAAGGAAGUAUAUUACGUUGAAGUGAAUAAACCAGGUGGUAGUUUAUUGUAAACCCAGUUGGUAGGUCAGGUGGUAGUUUAUUAUAAACCCAGUUGGUAGGUCAGGUGGUAGUUUAUUAUAAACCCAGUUGGUAGGUCAGGUGGUAGUUUAUUAUAAACCCAGUUGGUAGGUCAGGUGGUAGGUCAGGUGGUAGAUUAUUAUAAACCCAGUUGGUAGGUCAGGUGGUAGUUUAUUAUAAACCUAGUUGGUAGGUCAGGUGGUAGGUCAGGUGGUAGAUUAUUAUAAACCCAGUUGGUAGGUCAGGUGGUAGUUUAUUAUAAACCCAGCUGGUAGGUCAGGUGGUAGAUUAUUAUAAACCCAGUUGGUAGGUCAGGUGGUAGGUCAGGUGGUAGAUUAUUAUAAACCCAG
ensembl:lncRNA